CAGGAAGUCAGAGAAGAAAGGAACGUGUCCAGCGUGUCCACCCCAGUAAACAGGAAGUCAGAGAAGAAAGGAACGUGUCCAAUGUGUCCGCCCCAGUAAACAGGAAGUCAGAGAAGAAAGGAAAGUAUCCAGCGAGUCCACCCCAGUAAACAGGAAGUCAGAGAAGAAAGGUAUGUAUCCAGAGUGUCCACCCCAGUAAACAGGAAGUCAGAGAAGAAAGGAAUGUAUCCAGCGUGUCCGCCCCAGUAAACAGGAAGUCAGAGAAGAAAGGUAUCCAGCGUGUCCGCCCCAGUAAACAGGAAGUCAGAGAAGAAAGGAACGUGUCCAGCAUGUCCGCCCCAGUAAACAGGAAGUCAGAGAAGAAAGGAAUGUGUCCAGCGUGUCCGCCCCAGUAAACAGGAAGUCAGAGAAGAAAGGAACGUGUCCAGCAUGUCCGCCCCAGUAAACAGGGAGUCAGAGAAGAAAGGAAUGUGUCCAGCGUGUCCACCCCAGUAAACAGGAAGUCAGAGAAGAAAGGAAUGUGUCCAGCGUGUCCGCCCCAGUAAAGAGGAAGUCAGAGAAGAAAGGAAUGUGUCCAGCGUGUCCGCCCCAGUAAAGAGGAAGUCAGAGAAGAAAGGAACGUGUCCAGCGUGUCCACCCCAGUAAACAGGAAGUCAGAGAAGAAAGGAACGUGUCCAGCGUGUCCGCCCCAGUAAAGAGGAAGUCAGAGAAGAAAGGAACGUGUCCAGCGUGUCCGCCCCACUGGGAUAUAAUAAAGAAUAGGAUGUGACAGAGGAAGGCCCUAAAAAUGAUGAAAGACUCCAGCCACCCUAGUAGACUGUUCUCUCUGCUUCCGCACGGCAAGAGCAGGUUUUCGCUUCGAACCCACCUGAGUAGAGGAGACUGAUGAGAGUGACUGGGAUGUUUCAUGGUAGAGGAGACUGAUGAGAGUGACUGGGAUGUUUCAUGGUAGAGGAGACUGAAGAGAGUGACUGGGAUGAGGAGAGGACUGAGGAGAGGAGAGGACUGAGGAGAGGAGAGGACUGAGGAGUGAUGAGAGGACUGAGGAGAGGAGAGGACUGAGGAAAGGAGAGAACAGAGGGCAGGAGAGGACUGAGGAGAGGAGAGGACUGAGGAAAGGAGAGGACUGAGGAGUGAUGAGAGGACUGAGGAGAAGAGAGGACUGAAGAAAGGAGAGGAGAGAAGAGAAGAGAAUAAGGGAAGAGAGGAGCUGAGAAGAGAGAAGAGGAGAGGAGCCGAGAGGAGAGGAGCCGAGCGGAGAGGAGCCGAGAGGAGAG
rnacentral:lncRNA from 1 species